GGGCGCGUAGCUCAGUGGUAGAGCAGUCGUCUUAUACACGACCGGUCGAAGGUUCGAUCCCUUCCGCGCCCA
rnacentral:tRNA from 1 species